AGCUCCAAUAGCGUAUACUAAAGUUGUUGCAGUUAAAAAGCUCGUAGUCGAAUGUAGAUUGUACAGGUGCGCGGACGUUUAGGUGUAUAACUUAUAUUGUCUGUACGCCACAAUCACCCUUAUGUAGUACGGUUGUUUUGGUUUCCAGAACAAAUUUACCGACUACAUACAUUACUGUGAACAAAAUAGAGUGUUCAUGGCAGGCCAAUUAGGCUUGAAUACCUCAGCAUGGAAUAAUAGAAUAGGACUUCUGGUUCUAUUUUGUUGGUUUUUGGAGCCGAAGUAAUGAUUAAUAGGGAUAGUUGGGGGCACUCGUACUCCGUUGUCAGAGGUGAAAUUCUUGGAUUGACGGAAGACGAACAACUGCGAAAGCAUCUGCCAAGGAUGUUU
rnacentral:rRNA from 1 species